ensembl:lincRNA
AUGAGCAGCUCCCUUAAAAGGACCAAGAGAGAGGGGACCCCCACCAAGGUGCUGGACUGGUUCUUAAAGGGGCCACCUGAAGCAGGACUUUUUCCCACACUGAAGUCACCAACUGAGGGCAGAAACAGGUCUCCCAUCUUUGGGAUAUCUCCCAGGUCUGACUGGUCUGCGUGUGUCUCCCAUGAACAGAGCCGUCCCAGAUGUGUUCCUCGCAGGUGGAGACCAGGUGCCCCGAGGCCACACUCGCCGCUGUCUUUCUGCAGUUGAAUCCAGAGAGCAACUGGAGGAAGAAGAGGCGGGGGAAAUAAAGGAGGGGAAUGGCUCGCAUGCUGUACCCCUCCGAAGGUCGGGGGCUUUCCGGGCCCGUGGCCGCAACUAUGACGUCUUCAAAAGACAUAGUUGGGGGCCUGGCAGGGAGCUCGAGGACCCACUGACUAGGUAAGCCCCCAGGGAACCUCCUGUACCUCCUUCCCUCCAGGCCUAGACCUUGGAGAAAAUGGGAAAGUGAGAAAGAACUAGGUAACUCUCUAGUUAUCUCCCUCAAGAGACAACCAUCCGAAGAACGACAGGAGUCGAGGAGACCUGGGCCCCCAGUCCUUUCCCUGGAGAACCGGAGCUCAAUCCCACUGGUGGGCCUUUGGGGAGGAUGGAUGCUGCCUUCCAAAAUAUGCCUCUCGCCAGUGGCUCUUAUCUCCUUCUCUCAGGGCAGAGUGAGGGUAGUCGUGGGUGGGAGGUGUGGAGUCAGGGUGAGUAUCAGGACACUGGAUCUUCUUGCUUCCGCCUCCUACGGUGGGUUUCAUAGAACCACAUAAUGGUGUCAUAGAACCACAGAAAGAACUCAGAGAGCAUAUGGCACGAUCUCCUCAUUUUACAGAUAAGGAAACUGAGGCCCAAAGAACUUUCAGAGAUUUUUUUUUUUUGAGACGCAGUCUGGCUCUAUUGGCAGGCUGGAGUGCAGUGGCGCGAUCUCGGCUCACUGCAACCUCUGCCUCCCGGAUUCAAGCAGUUUUCCUGCCUCAGCCUCCUGAGUAGCUGGGGCUAAAGGUGCGUGCCACCAUGCCCAGCUAAUUUUUGUAUUUUUAUUAGAGACGGAGUUUCACCAUGUUGGCCAGGAUGGUCUCAAUCACUUGACCUUGUGAUCCGCCCACGAAGUGGUGGCCUCCCAAAGUGGUGUGAUUACAGGGGUGAGCCACACGCCUAGCCGUGAACUUUCAGAGAUUUCUUGAGAGAGGUGGUCACAGGGUGGGACAUUGGGCCUGCCCCAUUGCCAGGUCCUUGCCGGGCUUUUGGUUGCAGGCUGAGGACAACCCAGGAUGCCUUAGAUUAACUCAUGGUCCUGCAUUGCCACGUGAGAUCAGUUGUUCUUGCUCAGACUUCUGCAUAUACUUGGUGGACUGGAGCAGAAAAAUCAUCUCUUCCCCCUCCCGUGGAAAACCCCUGACCACUUCCCCAAAGUCAGAGGAAGUCAGAAAGAGAAGGUCCGGGGGUCAGCAUGAAGAGUUCAGUGUGAGUGAACAUUGUAGGGGCUGCUGGCCAUGGAAGGGCACUGUCUUUCUGCUUUGAAAAUGGUCCCCUUGAACAAGUUCUUUUAGCUCUGGUGAGUGGACCAAACUUCCCUAGCUCCUGGGCAGGGCUGGCUGGUUUGAGUGAGGGGAGAGGACCCUGGGCCUUGUCCCUGAACUGGCUUGGGUGGGAACGCAGAUGAGAAGCAAUGCCUGCAGGGCUCAUGGCACCUUCCUAAGGGUAGCUGGCUGGAAGAGAGAUGCCCAAAUGCCUGGGCCCCCCUAUGUGGCACCAACUGUAUCUCAGGGUCUUUCAAGCGUCACCCACCUUUCACAGUCAGGUAUUAAUUCUGCCCCUUGGUUAGAGAGGGAAGGGAGUCCUGAGUGCACUA